GGAGGGGGUGACAUGCAGCACGGGGCUCAAGCUGGAUUUGAACCUGGGCAAAUGCGGCUACUGAAGAAACAUGGUGGUGCAAAAAGGGUGUUCUCUGUGGAUGAGGACCUGCUCCCUAUGUAGAUAUAAACGUCUCAUUCUAAGAUUGCCACUGCUUUAAAGCUCACUGAUGAUGAACACAGAGACGAGGAGCAAGAAGACACACCACAAAGGUCACUGGAUGGAUUUUAUUCGACUAGGGCUGCCAGUAAAGAUGCCAAACCCUCGUCUCAACCCCUUUGCAGACGCCCCAGCAUCGUCACCAGAAAGCUUGGAUCCUGUUGAUCCAGAGCAGUCUGUCUGAGAUGGAGAGGUCCAUAACCUUGAUAGCCAACAAGGAUCUAUGCCACAAGGUGCAGGAGAGGAAAGUCCGUAAGAGCAGCUGUGGCCAGAGGAGCGUCCCAAUAAAGUCAUGUUCCCCCUCUACGGAACAGAUGAAGGUGCUAUCAUCCUGAGGAAGGACGAAGCAAAAGGAGAAGUUGACUGAAGUACAGGUACAGCCCAUCAGGAUUUGAAACCAGACCCUCGACCAUUUGCACCCUACUGCCAUGGACAGCACACUUGGCACUAGGACUGUUUAUCCAGGUGCAUUCAACCUUUCUGAGUGGGUGUUGGACUUAUUUGGACACUGGGUUUUAACAUUCACCUGCCCCGGAUGAGUAUCAAGUCCACAGCCUCAGGACCUCCAACCACCCUGUAACAGCCUGAGCUAUCAGUCCAGAGACAUCAUAUCUAUGUUACUUACAGCUUUCAAGUUUUCUUUGGACAUCACUUUGCAAAAUGGACACAUCAUACAGUUGGACUUCAGACUGAACAAAUACUACUUAUGUUCUUCUUAUGGACGUGUGCAAAAUGCAGACUUUUCAGGACAAUGUUCUAACUUAAAUGUGCAACUUCAGGUAUUACAAAUCUAUGGUGAUCAUACUACCUUAUUGUAAGCUGUGAUCUUGUUUGGACUGACUUUACAUGUAAACAAUAAAAAUCACGUGCAUUCCUUCAUUGCUAGGAAUGGGUAUCGCAAAGGUUUUAUUUAAACUUCUAUUUUUAUCGAUACUCCUUAUCUAUUCGUGUAAAAGUACCAAUUUAAAAAAAACAAUACAGUCAGAGCUACAGUCAGAGCUAAUCAAAAUUAUGGGCUUCGGUACCCAUCCCUAUGUAUUGCAGCAGUAACCAAAUGUUUAUUCGAUGUGCACCGGUUGUUGUUUUCUGUUGAUGGAAGAGGGUAUGAGAACAGCUGUAAUAAACAGGUAGGUGAAUAACAAGUGACACAUUUAGUACACAUAUAAACAGUAAAAUAAAAAAAUAUAAAAUAAAAUAUAAACAGUUUGUAUUGAAUAGUUUCAAACAAAGUAUAUUAUGAUAUUGUAGCAUAUUCAAAAGAAAUUAAAGGACAGCAUGAGGGGAAAAAGAAGUCACACGAUGGUAUAUAACCUUGGUCUCUAACAGGCGGACCACGGUCUGAGGCCGGCCCAGACGCCGUCCUAUACGGACCCAUUACCGGUAAAUUAUUGACGGAUUUUAAACUUUGUUGGGAUAUCUCUUAUUUUAACCUGCGCAACUUUUCUAGUCCUUACGGUACCUGUUUAGCUGAUCAGGAAACGCACAGACCAAUAGCAUGCGAGUUAUAGCCAUCCCACGUGAUGCCAACCAGCCAAUCAAAUCGAUGCAUUCCAGGCAAUUAAUGUUGCGACUCUGUAUACAGUCAGACAAGACAAGCGGAAAGAUGAUGGAAAUAUAGAAAAAGAAAACGAUACAGUGAGAGAAGUCGGAGAGGCGAGUUUGGCUUAACA